rnacentral:lncRNA from 1 species
GACAAGUACCUAACCGCCGACGAAGACGAGGAAUCCGUCGUCCAAGGCCGCGACGGAUCGUCCAAGGCCUCCAAAUGGACAGUCGAAUUCGUCGACAACUCCGACGGCAUCAUCCGCCUCAAGAGCUGCUACGGAAAGUACCUCACCGCCUCCAACCAGCCGUUUCUCCUCGGCAUGACGGGCCGGAAGGUGCUGCAGACGCGCCCCCGCCGCCUCGACAGCUCCGUCGAGUGGGAGCCCGUGCGGGAUAAAGGCGCCGCCAUCAAGCUCAAGACGAGGUACGGCCACUUCAUGAGGGCCAACGGCGGCGUGCCGCCCUGGAGGAACUCCGUCACGCAUGACAUCCCGCAUCGGACGGCC